GACGAACGCUGGCGGCGUGCUUAACACAUGCAAGUCGAACGGAAAGGCCCUGCUUGCAGGGUACUCGAGUGGCGAACGGGUGAGUAACACGUGGGUGAUCUGCCCUUCACUUCGGGAUGAGCCUGGGAAACUGGGUCUAAUACCGGAUAGGAGCCAUUUUUAGUGUGAUGGUUGGAAAGUUUUUUCGGUGUAGGAUGAGCUCGCGGCCUAUCAGCUUGUUGGUGGGGUAAUGGCCUACCAAGGCGGCGACGGGUAGCCGGACUGAGAGGGUGGAAGGCCACACUGGGACAGAGACACGGCCCAGACACCGACCGGAGGCAGCAGUGGGGAAUAUUGAACAAUGGGCGCAAGCCUGAUGCAGCGACGCCGCGGGGGGGAGGACGGCCUUCGGGUUGUAAACUCCUUUCGCUAGGGACGAAGCUUUUUGUGACGGUACCUAGAUAAGAAGCACCGGCUAACUACGUG
rnacentral:rRNA from 1 species